UUAGCUAGCUCAAUGGCAAAUCAGCUUGAAGUAAAGUGCAAAGGAUCUCGAUGAGCAAUCCCAAGCUCGACCGGUAGAAGCCUUUUUCCAAAUCUGUCCACCAUAGCCGAAUUUGCUUCUUUGAAUGCUUAGAUCGAGCUCGAUUAGUUGGACCCGUUUGUAGCUUGAUUGGAUCUCAAUUGAAGUCAGCUGAGUCCCCGAGCGCGUUCGUAUCACCCAUACACACCUCAACUCCUCCAUCCAUUGCAUUAUUAUUCUAUUAGGGUUUUUAAUAAGAUCUUGACACCUAAGGGUGAUGAUAUUAAUUUAAAUUUUCAAGAUUUUCUCUUAUUUUAAAAGUUUGUUUUAGAACUUGGUUUCAUUAGGGUUUUUAAAAAGACUUCAACACCUAGGUGUUGAUGUUAGUUUUUACAUUACACUACCAUUCCUUUAUCUUUUCCCUAAUCAUAAUGGACUCGAAAAACUUGGUAGCACAAUACCUAUGUAGGACCUCGACACCAAUAAGUAUCGAGAUACCUAUAAAAGAAACCUAUUUCGAAAAAUAACUUUCUCAUAUACGUAUUUAAGUAAAAAUAUUUAUUUAUCUUAUUUUGAGAAGAAAAAACUAGAACUACACUCUAG
rnacentral:lncRNA from 1 species